UCUAAGCACAUUCCAUGCCUCAUCUCCAUGGAUCCAUUCCUGUUAUCCAUCAAGUAGAUUUUAAAAUAGUCCACGUUUUUUUUCAUUUCUGCAAAAUCAACAGUACUGGAAAGUUGGCAGGUACACUUGUUUAAACAAAGCUCCCAAGUUUUCUGCUGGCAGGUGUUUCCAGAGUUCUUGGAGCACAAUUCUUUGGAUAGGAUAUUUGCCAAUAUACAUAGCAACAGGGGGAAAGUACGUGUUUUUCUUUGACACGGUGGAGACACUGAAAUGCCUUAGACACAAAACUGCAUACUCAGUUCAGGGGCUUAUUUUGGCUCCAGGUCAAGAAAUCAACAAUAAUAAAAUGCAAAAUCGUUCUGCUCAGAACUGUGAUGGGCUUCAGAGUAGAACUGAUUUGCUUAUCAAAUUGGCAACAUGUCCUCCCCAGCCACUACUAUACAGUUUGAACCAAUGAGUUGGGUUCCCUCUUCUUUGUCAAUUCCCUGGUCUCCUGAAUGUCUCAUUCUCAAGUUAAUUCUGCUUGAAAUUGAGGCUGGAGAUGGUGGAAAUUUAAUAUGAUGAAGGCAGAGCAGAGACCGGCUCCAGAUGUGUAGGAAUUGAAGGGAACAUUCUAAGAUAACUGCAUGAAGAAUGGACUGGAGUGUUGAGGGCCACCACCAAGUCGGGAUGAUGCAUGGCAUUUUUGCCAGAAGUAGUGGUUGAGAGGUGACGCCAUUGAGCCAUUAAGAUGAUGACUUUUGAGUUCUGGCAGAGUUCCCGUUGAGUUCCCAUUGAGCUCUCCCGGGGAUUCCUGAAGAGUUCGCAUUGGUUGGGGAAGUGCUGGAGGAGGGAUUUCCGGUUGGUGGUUCCUGGAGGAGCCUAGUGGCAUUGGGGAGAGUUCCCAGUAGCGUGUGUUGAGUGUGCUGGUGGAGUUCAGAAAUAAAGUUUGUUCCUGCUUCAGUGGCUCGUGAUUUGUGCCCAGCCAGACUGCAGCACUGGAGGGCAAAAAGCUACAGCAAUGGAGCAGUUAGAACAAUCUAGCAAUGGACUUUGAUGAGGUUAAUGACCAAGAGGAGAAACAGAGGUGAUGAACAGCACAGAGAAAGAAACUCAAGAACUUAAAGGAAGUAGAAUAGUUCACGGUUUGUCACCAUUUCUGUGUAGAGUAAAGAAUGACAAGUUGCUGCUGACGUAUGUCUUUGGGAGUGAGGGGUGGUGAAGGGACUUACUUAACAGAGAUGAAGGUAGCCAAGGCUCAAAAUGAGAAGAAACCCUAAAAAUCAAAGCACAAUAGCAAGGAUUAUUUUAUAAAACACUUUGAGACAUCAAGAAUUUGAGGUUUGAUUUUUUUAAUGUGUUCCUGAAGUAAUUUUAAUUUACAAAACGCAUUUAUGUACAUUGGCUCAUUUUGAUAUUUGACCUCACAUGCAUGAGGGACAGGGAGGGUAUUAGAAACGUAGGUUACAAAAUGUAGUAAGUGGAACUCAGAGGGACUGAGAGGUAUAGAUGAGAUCAAAUAGCUGAGCCAAGGUGGAACCAAAAGUUAGAAUAUGUAUUCUCAGUUUCUAGUGUAAUAUUCAUGACAAGAAUGGGAGUAGACUGGUCACCCUGUAGAACUUGAUUUUCUCUUCCUUCAGGAAUUUUUCUGCCUUUGGCAUUGUGUAAGACACCUCUAGUAUCCGGCUUUGUUGGAUAAUUUCUCCAUGAGAUCACAUCCAGGGAGACCUGGAGAUCUUAUUUGAGUUACCUAAAGUUAUUUCCAAGCUAUUAAGACCUCACUAUGCCUGGAGCUCGCAUGAUCCAUUACCUUGUAGGGUUCUGAAAUACUGGCCAUUGCACUAAUCCUAAAGCCUGAAGCUGAAAAAGAUGAGGCAAAUAUAUUGUCAUCUUUUCCCUCCGUGGAAAACGGAAAGAAAAACACACACGAAAAAAAAAUCUGCCAUUUCCCUCAGGUCAAAUGACAGACACUGACCCUUGACAUUCCAUUCAGAAAAUUCCAAAAUAAACACAGACUCACGUAAGCCCAAAGAAAAGAAGCCAAAUUAGGAACAUCAAACUUUUUUGCCUGGAAAAGGAUAGUUUUUCCUAUUAUCCUAAGUAGGACACUGGAAGAAAAAAUAAAGUUACUUAAAAUUGCAAUUAUAAAAUUAAAGAACAAGGACAGUAAUAUGCUUUGCAGCACCUCAAGAAGAGACCUGCAGUUGGACAAUCCAUUUAAAUGUUAGCUCUGCUUUUAUAAAAUUCCACCAAGCAAUCUGUGCCUUCCCAUUACGGUCUGCUUGCUUGUUGUAACUGAAGAAAAUGUUCCUCCUAUAUACUUAAGUUGGUGGACAAAAAUGUAGCAUUCAUCUUCUCUCGAAUAUACUCUCAGGCCUUUUUGCACAGUUAAACUUAGACCUGUACAUAGGUAUUGCUAUUUGAUGUACCUUCAAUUUCAACAGAUCUAAUGACAGCAUUUGAGACAAUGAAUUCCCCCCUUCUCCUUUUGUGCAUGUUUAUUUAUUUAUUUUUUUCCUCUUGGUGACCAGGACACUAUGCUCUGCAGGUUCCUCCUAUCUCCCAGGAUGCAUCAGAUCCUUCUCUGCUUCCUGUUAUCUAGAACUCACUCAUUCUCCCCUCCCUCUCUUGUACCUUAACCAUUUUAUCCAGACCAUGCUUUAAAUAGCCUCUCUAUCAUAAUGACUCCUAAAAUUACAUCACUGGCCUUACUCUUCCUUACAAAACCUAUAUUGGUAUUAACAACAGCUAACGUGAUUUCUAAUAGGCAUCUUACCCAGGACAUGUUGGGGACAGAAUCUUGAUUCCCCACUCUCUGAUAUCCCCAAACUUGUUCAGCCUCACAUCUCCACAUCUCAGCCAAUAGUGUCACAGCAAAUAAUGUUUUCCAGUCGUGCAGGUCAAAAUCCAAGACGCUGUUCUUGAUUCAUCCAGUUUUCUAACAUUCCGUGUCUGAUUUAUUAGCAAACUCUCUCUGCUCUGCAUUCAAACCAAUUGCUUCUUGUGAUCUUUUAUCAUUUCUCAGAUAGAUUGCUGCAAACACUUUCUAACUUGUCUCUAUCUUUCCUCUCUCAUUUCCUGAAGUCUAUCCUCACCAAACAAGUCUCUUUUUUAAAAUUAAAAAUUUUAAAUUUGACUCCUCUUAGAAUAAAACCCAAACUCCAUCUCAUGACCUAGAAAGUUCUCCAUGAUCUGGCUCUUGCUUCUUCUGAUGGUCUCACCUCCUUAUCUGCUUUGCUUGUUCUGCUUUAAACAGACUAGGAUGGGAUUCUCCGCACAUUCUAGCACUUUCAGCUCCAGGGCCUUUGCACAUUCUAUACAUCUCCUCAAAAAUGUUCUACAUGACUCAGUUCUUAUCGUUCCUAAAGUUUCAAGCUAACAGUCACUUUCUCUAAAAAUAAAUAAAUAAAUAAAUAAAAAUAAAAACAACUUUCCUCACUACCUGGUCUUUUUGCUCUCUAUAGUCUGCUAUAAUUUUUUUGAAAGUACUAUCACUAUAAAAAUUAUGUGUAUUAUUUUUAUUAGUUUAAUAUUUUGGUUAUUUCUUUCCCCCAGCUAUAGUAAAUCUAAUUUAGUAGGUCUGACAUCUCUCUUUGUAUCACUUAUGCAUCCUCAAUGCAUACGACCAUGCCUAUUGCUUAAUAGGUACCCCACAUUUAAUGAUUUGAUGUAUGUGUUAGUAAAUAAAUAAUUGUGUCUAUAUGAUUCAAUCUCCCUAAUAAACAGUGUUAUUUUUUUCAAGUUCCAACUUGCUUAAAAUAAGAAAUUUGUAUGUGUCAGUGUAUAUGUGGGUGUUUUCCCUAAAGCUAAGCUAUAGAAAUGAUUGAAUUCAACAUCUACAGCAACCUGAGAACUCUGGAGAAAACAACUCUUCAGGACAUUGGCUGGAUGACACCCACAUUACAAAUUCUACUGCUGUUGAUAGGAACUAGAAUGAUGUAUAGUGUCUUUCUCUGGAAAAUUCCAAUAAAACAGAU